CCUACGGGAGGCAGCAGUGAGGAAUAUUGGUCAAUGGCCGUAAGGCUGAACCAGCCAAGUAGCGUGAGGGAAGACUGCCCUAUGGGUUGUAAACCUCUUUUAUGCGGGGACAAAGGGGUCCACGUGUGGAUGUUUGCAUGUACCGCAUGAAUAAGGACCGGCUAAUUCCGUGCCAGCAGCCGCGGUAAUACGGAAGGUCCGGGCGUUAUCCGGAUUUAUUGGGUUUAAAGGGAGCGUAGGCGGUUCUUUAAGCGAGCGGUGAAAUUCUGUGGCUCAACCACGAGACUGCGGCGGAGACUGGAGACGUUGAGUGCGCGGAAGGCAGGCGGAAUUCGUGGUGUAGCGGUGAAAUGCUUAGAUAUCACGAAGAACCCCGAUUGCGAAGGCAGCCUGCCGAAGCGUUACUGACGCUGAGGCUCGAAAGCGCGGGGAUCGAACAGGAUUAGAUACCCGGGUAGUC
rnacentral:rRNA from 1 species